GUAUAUCUUCUGUAAACCCUUAGGAGACAAAACUCCUCUUGUAGAGAUCGUCUACGAGUUUAACGGGUUGGUGAACCUAAAAUCACUCGUCACGCCUACGAAAAGGAGCCUAGGAAUCGCAUCUAGUUUUCUUAGUUUAUUUUCUUUUCUUUUGAUUUUUACUCGAGGACGAGCAAAAGAUAGGUAUGGGGACGUUUGAUAGGUC
rnacentral:lncRNA from 1 species